AUGUCGCCGUCUGGAAUUCCCGUCGUGGGUAGCAGCAUAUCCAGGUGUUUGGCCUUGUCUGGUGUGCUGACAACGUACGGACAGAGGCUUGCCGAAUUCCUCGCCGUUCACCGUCUGAUACCCAGCGAGCCCCAGAUCCUGGAGCUGCCGACACCGCCGGAGCUGCCGGAGGACAUCCUGAUGUGCAUAUUCGCCAGCCUUGAGACCCCCGACCUCGUCCGGGCAGGCUCCGUCUGCUCAUCAUGGCGUUCCGCCUGCGCCAGGCUCUGCAAUCUUGGGCUCUUCAGGCAGACACAGACACCGUGCCUCCUAUACACCUCUGAAUCUGCCGGUGAGAGUGCCGCAGGCCUCUUCAGCCUCGUGGAGAACAAAUCCUACACAUUGGCUCUUCCAGACCCACCUAUUCGCACCAGGUAUGUGAUCGGCUCCAACCAUGGUUGGAUCAUCACCGCCGACGAUAGGUCCGAGCUGCACCUCCUCAACCCCAUCACCGGUGACCAGAUCGCCCUGCCUUCCGUCACCACCAUUGAGCAGGUGAAGCCCAUCUUUGAUGAUGCCGGUGCUCUUCACAAGUAUCAGUACUCAUGGUACACCGGCACUCCACGCCUAGUCGACUUCCCUACGCCCUCGGUCUUUUCGCUUGGCGAGCUGCGGGACUACCUCUUUGAGAAGGCAUUUUUGUCGUCUGAUCCAUCGACUGGAGAUUAUUAUGUGGUACUCAAGCAUAAUCCGCAGUCACAACUUUCAUUUGCAAGAGCAGGGGAUGAUAGAUGGACUUGGUUGCCACCACAAGUUAAUUAUGCAGAUUGUUUCUUUAAGGAUGGCCUGCUCUUUGCAUUGGAUUCACGCGGAGAAGUCCGUACGUUUGAUCUCAGUGCACCUGUAGUAACACAAAAUAUCGUUCUGGGGAGAAUGAAGGCUUGGAUCGAGGACUGCAACUACAUGUACAUUGCUCAAGCUCCAUGCGGUGAUUUGUUGCAAGUUUGGAAGUCAAGAAACUGUUUGGGUUGGGACGAUGAGGAUGUUUCAGAACAUGGGCUUGAGGAUGGGGAGGAUGAGUACAUUUCGGAACACAAGCUUGAUGAUGCGACAGAUCUGUCGAGGCUGAAACCUGAGGAUAGGGAGGAUGACGAUGUUUUGGAAUCUGAGUUAGGCUCUGACUCUCAUGUGGUCUUCACCGACAAGUUUGACGUAUUUAAAGUGGAUUUUGCUGCAACAAAACUUGAAGACAUAACUAGCUCAUGUGACAGUGUGAUGUUUCUUGGGCAUAAUCAAUCACUUUGUUUGAGUGCCGAUGAAUAUCCACAGUUAAAGUCCAAUCAUGUCUAUUUUACUGAUGAGGAUGAUGCCUAUCAUCAUUUUGGAAGCAUGAAGAGUCAGCGUGAUAUUGGAGUUCUCAACCUUGGAAAUUGCUAUGUUGAAAGAAUUGUAUCACCUCAGCUUUGGUCCAACAUGCCAGCCCCUGUGUGGUUUAUACCAAAUCCCCGGAAGAUACAUUUAGCAUCACAUGAUUAG
rnacentral:rRNA from 1 species